rnacentral:rRNA from 1 species
AUGAGGCGAACCGGGGGAACUGAAACAUCUAAGUACCCCGAGGAAAAGAAAUCAACCGAGAUUCCCCCAGUAGCGGCGAGCGAACGGGGAGGAGCCCAGAGCCUGAAUCAGCAUGUGUGUUAGUGGAAGCGUCUGGAAAGGCGCGCGAUACAGGGUGACAGCCCCGUACACAAAAGCGCAUGUGCUGUGAGCUCGAUGAGUAGGGCGGGACACGUGGUAUCCUGUCUGAAUAUGGGGGGACCAUCCUCCAAGGCUAAAUACUCCUGACUGACCGAUAGUGAACCAGUACCGUGAGGGAAAGGCGAAAAGAACCCCGGCGAGGGGAGUGAAAAAGAACCUGAAACCGUGUACGUACAAGCAGUGGGAGCACAGGUUUACCUGUGUGACUGCGUACCUUUUGUAUAAUGGGUCAGCGACUUAUAUUCUGUAGCAAGGUUAACCGCAUAGGGGAGCCG